rnacentral:rRNA from 1 species
CUACGUAGGGUGCAAGCGUUAAUCGGAAUUACUGGGCGUAAAGCGUGCGCAGGCGGUUAUGUAAGACAGAGGUGAAAUUCCCGGGCUCAACCUGGGGACUGCCUUUGUGACUGCAUAGCUAGAGUACGGUAGAGGGGGAUGGAAUUCCGCGGGUAGACGUGAAAUGCGUAGAUAUGCGGAGGAACACCGAUGGCGAAGGCAAUCCCCUGGACCUGUACUGACGCUCAUGCACGGAAGCGUGGGGAGCAAACAGGAUUAGAUACCCUGGUAGUCUACGCCCUAAACGAUGUCAACUGGUUGUUGGGUCUUCACUGACUCAGUAACGAAGCUAACGCGUGAAGUUGACCGCCUGGGGAGUACGGCCGCAAGGUUGAAACUCAAAUGAAUUGACGGGG